CAGUAGCCGCGGGAACACGUAGGUGGCAAGCGUUGUCCGGAAUUAUUGGGCGUAAAGCGCGCGCAGGCGGAUCAGUUAGUCUGUCUUAAAAGUUCGGGGCUUAACCCCGUGAUGGGAUGGAAACUGCUGAUCUAGAGUAUCGGAGAGGAAAGUGGAAUUCCUAGUGUAGCGGUGAAAUGCGUAGAUAUUAGGAAGAACACCAGUGGCGAAGGCGACUUUCUGGACGAAAACUGACGCUGAGGCGCGAAAGCCAGGGGAGCGAACGGGAUUAGAUACCCGCGUAGUCCCUGUCUCUUAUACA
rnacentral:rRNA from 1 species